rnacentral:lncRNA from 1 species
GUUUAGGAUGGUAGACAUUUUGCCGUGUUAAAUGAAAUCUACUGACUCAAGCGCCUUCGAUCAUUAAUGGAUACAAUAUUCGGACAUGGCAAAAUGUUGUACAAUACGAGGCAGUCUUCCUUGAGUUGGACUGACGAGAAUCGCACUGUUAACGAAUCCGAGUUGUACGAAUUACUCAAGGCUUGCCUACCUACCUAAUGAGGACGUAAAAAAAUGCGCAGAUUUGGACGUUUACCGGCAUGUCUUGGAUGUAGAUUUUUUUUUUCUCGAAAAAGGUGUCGGGGCAAGGCAGAUAAAAUUGGCGAAUUUUUCGUGGUUGUAUGGGACAAACUGCAUUUAAUUUUACAGUAAACAAGAGAUUGGCAUGAUAGCCGAACGUUUCCGUGAUGUAGUUCACGAUAUCGGAUUCCAAGUAAACUAUGAUGUUCUUUCAGCACUCAUUUUACGUAUGUGCAAAAAGAUGUCACAGUAGACACUACGUUUCGGAGAUUUCUUCUCAGCUGUCAUUCACAUCACCGUAGCAUUUGAUAUCACAAUGUAUAGAAACUACUGAGGAGGAAUUCCGCUUCAUCUAAAAGGCCAAUGGAUUCGAGCUCAACUAUCAAAUACAAACAGAAAAACUGGAAGUCAUACGGAAAGAAAAGACAGCAAAGAAAGAAAAAUAACAAGACGGGAAGGAAAAAGUAAAUGAGCCCACCACAAAAUACCCCCAACCCUCCCAGCUAAUGUGACUAUUGUCAUGGAAAACUAUGUCAGCAGUGCAGGGCUGAGUUUGUCUUUAUUUUGCCCGUAAGCAGACAAAAGGUUGAAACAGUAGAGGAAGUAGAGAAAAUUGCCGUAAAACCAGUUUUGAAAAUGUCGAGCACGGAAUAAGCGAACGAUUUUACCCGACAAUUCGCUUGAAACGAUCUUUGAUUAUCUACUGUUACGGACCUAAAUGUAUAAAAUACGUCGCGUCCGUGAAGUACUGCAGUGACAAGUGCGGGUUAAAAUUGGCCACAACUCGUAUAAACCAGGCUAACUUAACCCAUUUGAAAGGUUUUGGGAAAAAAUGUCUGUAGGUAAGUCCUGUCAAUAUUUUCCCGCAGCGCAUUCAAGAACGGGGCUUAACGCCUUGCAUAGCUAUAAGAAAACAAUAAGAAAUAAUUAAGAACACAUUUGUUAAGCAGCGAAACGAACCACGGGAACUUCUGAGAGAAGAAUCAAAACGUUCCAUUUCAUCGAGUUAAACAUUCAUCGAGUUAAAUCGGUUUUAUUUUUUUUUACUGGUGAUGUGUUUCUUGAAACUGAGGACGAAGCACAUGAGGUAGGCGAUAUAGAGAAGUAGUCCGUAACUGUCCCGUGCAUCACUUGCGGCAUCGCUAUUACGGCCAGGAAUGCAAUCCGACACCUGGAGCCAUGUACCAGCAAAUACGAAAGCUAUGCUCUUCCCUCGGCUCAAUAUUCCAAACUUAAAAAAGCCGACGAUAUUAUGUGACUUAGCAAUCCCAGUAGUCGAAGAUGCUGCAAGCUACUUCAUCUUGUGUCCGGAGCAUUGGCAAGAUCCUAACAAGUACGGGAAGUCUUUGAAGAGACUGGAGAAUCCUAUCUUAUUCACAUACAGAAGUCUCAAGCGUAACUGGGAAAGAAGAAAUCCAAAUUGAAAAAGUAUGGCAGUGGCUUAAAGUUGAAGAUUUAUUCUCAAAUGAACGACAAAAUUUGACUGCCAUGACUCAGAAAAAACGCCGUUAUAUAACAAUCACAUGUGUACAUAUACUAUUUCCCUCGUUUUUUGUUGUUUUAUACGCUCGCCAAUUGAUUCUCUGGUGUCACUUGUCCCAUGACUUUGAAGUUGAGCAAUUCCUUUUAACAAUCGUGUUGAUUGAAAAUUAGGAUAACAGAUGGCGCAACUGCGCCUCUGUCUUUGUUUUGUGAAAAUACUAAGUGUGACAAGUGAAACCUAUGUUCAAAUAUUUGUGAACUAUGUUACAUUCUAGUGAUAUGUUUGAUAACAUUAAAUGGUGUAUUUUCAACUAUUGAGAGUUUUUCAUUGUUCCCUGUGUUUUUGGAGUGAGAAAAAUCAAGUGUAUUAGUUUUUGUGCAACGGGUAAACUUGUGAUCAGCCAUGCCAGAUCCAAACUAUUAUUUUUACAUUCCCAUCAUGCUAUUCUAUUGCACGUUGAGAGAAGUAGUUGGUGAAUCCUAAAUAGCAAAAGAUACUAACCAUGAGGAAAGGUUAGAGAUGACACAAACCAUACGAGUUGGAAUAUUAUCAUGACAGUAACAUCAUUCUGCUACUCUUUACUCAUUCAUCAUGUCCUGUCAGUUUUGAUCUGAAAAAUGCACCAUAUAUUGUGUUGCAAACCAUUAACCAUAAAAAUGUCAACAAUCUUCUCGUAAUUUCUACUUAGCCUAUCAAGUGGCAGGAUUUUGAGUUGCAGCUCAUGUAUCUAAAAUGAAAAGAAUGCUGGCCUCGAAGGAAGAUCACCAACAAUGCAAAAUCAAUGGAUUGGAAUACCUCAUGUAAUUUUCAAUUCGCCAACACAUAUCUUCGCUUCGCCCGUCGCCCCGUCUUCGCUUCGCCCGUCGCCCCGUCUUCGCUUCGCCCGUCGUCUUCGCUUCGCCCGUCGCCCCGUCUUCGCUUCGCCCGUCGCCCCGUCUUCGCUUCGCCCGUCACCCCCUCUUAGCUUCGCCCGUCACCCCCUCUUAGCUUCGCCCGUCGCCCCGUUGCCCCAUCUUCGCUUCGCCCGUCGUCUCGUCUUCGCCUCUUGGUCACCCCUCUUCACUUCGCCCCUUCAUCGCCUCGUCUUUGUGGUAUCGUUGUAUUUUGUAAUGUGUAAUUGUGUAGUGUUAAUUAACCCGUUGG